AACUGAAUAUAAGAAACAGGUGCCAAUUAUGUUUUUACAAGCUAAAAGCAUGAAUUGGUGAAAAGGGAAGUAGGUUAGAUUCCUACGCGGUCCCGCCGCUGUGAUAGAGGAGCCUUUACAUAAUGCCACUGGGAAACUGGGAAGGAUGUAAAGGUGAUGAUGCUUAAGCCAGAAGACCUGCCUGUUUCGAUGCCAUUGA
rnacentral:ncRNA from 2 species